UCUCCAGAAGGCAAGUAUUGAUUCCUGCAGACUCUCUGUUCCUCCUGCAUGUAUGUUACUACAGAGUCAGUCUGCAGCAUUGUUCCAUUUUUUUAUAGGCACCUACUUUCCUUGUAUUUCAUACCUACAUACUCAAGAUUUUGCCUGUGUCUGUGUAUAGAAGGAGUUUUGAGGAAGGAACAUGAAGUGACGUGGAAGAAUGUCAGGAGAAGAAGCACAGAGGGAUCUUGUCUGCUUCCUGUGCUGGAGUAACCCAUUCCACCCAUGGCCAGGCUCUGUAUUAACAUUUUUCCUGAGCAUCAUUAUGGAGCUUGCAUGGUAUUACUUCCUUAUACUGCAAGAUACAAGUGUAGACUCAGGAAACAAUUUCAUCCUCCCACAUUUGCAACGCCGUGAUUCUGACACUGCCAGCCAAGGUGUCUCAGACCCAGGUCCCCUAUUUAUCAUCUCUGCCUUGGAGAUCUAUUAAAUAACAAGCCGUAGCAUACCUGAAAAAAAAGAGGGGAAUAAACAAAGAGAACUUUAGCCAAUUGAUGGUGA